rnacentral:rRNA from 1 species
UACGUAGGGCGCAAGCGUUGUCCGGAAUUAUUGGGCGUAAAGAGCUCGUAGGCGGCUUGUUGCGUCGGUUGUGAAAGCCCGGGGCUUAACCCCGGGUCUGCAGUCGAUACGGGCAGGCUAGAGUGUGGUAGGGGAGAUCGGAAUUCCUGGUGUAGCGGUGAAAUGCGCAGAUAUCAGGAGGAACACCGGUGGCGAAGGCGGAUCUCUGGGCCAUUACUGACGCUGAGGCGCGAAAGCCAGGGGAGCGAACGGG